CCUACGGGUGGCUUCAGUGGGGAAUAUUGCACAAUGGGGGAAACCCUGAUGCAGCGACGCCGCGUGAGUGAAGAAGUAUUUCGGUAUGUAAAGCUCUAUCAGCAGGGAAGAAAAUGACGGUACCUGACUAAGAAGCCCCGGCUAACUACGUGCCAGCAGCCGCGGUAAUACGUAGGGGGCACGCGUUAGCCGGAUUUACUGGGUGUAAAGGGAGCGUAGACGGUGAUGCAAGUCAGAAGGGAAAGCCCGGGGCUCAACUCCGGUACUGCUUUUGAAACUGGGUGACUGGAGUGCAGGAGAGGUAGGCGGAAUUCCUGGUGUAGCGGUGAAAUGCGUAGAUAUCAGGCGGAACACCAGUGGCGAAGGCAGCUUACUGGACUGUAACUGACGUUGAGGCUCGAAAGCGUGGGGAGCGAACAGGAUUAGAUACCCUUGUAGUC
rnacentral:rRNA from 1 species